UACAGAGGGGGCUAGCGUUGUUCGGAAUUACUGGGCGUAAAGGGCGCGUAGGUGGCCUGCUAAGUCGAACGUGAAAUCCCCGGGCUCAACCCGGGAACUGCGUCCGAGACUGGCAGGCUUGAAUCCGGGAGAGGGAUGUGGAAUUCCGAGGUGUAGCGGUGAAAUGCGUAGAUAUCUGGAGGAAUACCGGUGGCGAAGGCGGCAUCCUGGACCGGCAUUGACGCUGAGGAGCGAAAGCGAUGGGGAGCGAACGAGG
rnacentral:rRNA from 1 species